rnacentral:sRNA from 1 species
UAUGAUUCACAUUGGGAAUUGUUAUUGAGCACUUGAUGUACACAAAUUCCAUAUGUGAAUUUUUUAUAUCAAUGCUUCCUUUUGUUAACACAAAGAAGGAGGUAUUCAAAUGAAUACAGGUAAAGUAAAAUGGUUUAAUUCUGAAAAAGGUUUUGGUUUCAUCACAGUUGAUGGUGGAAAAGAUGUAUUCGUACAUUUCUCAGCUAUCAAUGGUAAUGGAUUCAAAUCAUUAGAAGAAGGACAAAACGUAAGCUUCGACAUCGUUGAAGGUGACAGAGGUCCUCAAGCAUCUAACGUAACAGUAUUAUAAUCAAUGAAAAACAAGAGAAAUCUUGUUUUUUUCU